AUUGAACGCUGGCGGCAGGCCUAACACAUGCAAGUCGAGCGGAUGAAGGGAGCUUGCUCCUGGAUUCAGCGGCGGACAGGUGAGUAAUGCCUAGGAAUCUGCCUGGUAGUGGGGGAUAACGUCCGGAAACGAGCGCUAAUACCGCAUACGUCCUGAGGGAGAAAGUGGGGGAUCUUCGGACCUCACGCUAUCAGAUGAGCCUAGGUCGGAUUAGCUAGUUGGUGGGGUAAAGGCCUACCAAGGCGACGAUCCGUAACUGGUCUGAGAGGAUGAUCAGUCACACUGGAACUGAGACACGGUCCAGACUCCUACGGGAGGCAGCAGUGGGGAAUAUUGGACAAUGGGCGAAAGCCUGAUCCAGCCAUGCCGCGUGUGUGAAGAAGGUCUUCGGAUUGUAAAGCACUUUAAGUUGGGAGGAAGGGCAGUAAGUUAAUACCUUGCUGUUUUGACGUUACCAACAGAAUAAGCACCGGCUAACUUCGUG
rnacentral:rRNA from 1 species